rnacentral:rRNA from 1 species
UGAUAGGACGCAGGUGUACAGGUGGUAACAUCACAGCCGAGCGUUACUAAUUGCCCGAUGACUUUCUUUUAUCCGCCUUCAAUGGUUUAUAUAUCCGUUUAGCUUCACUAUUUAUAUAAUAGACCGCUGAAUUUACUUUUGUACAUUAUG